ACACGACUACAUUAGAUACCCCCGUAGUCCUAGCCCUAAACGAUGCGCGUUAGGUGUAUCGGUGACCACGAGUCACCGAGGUGCCGAAGGAAACCGUGAAACGUGCCGCCUAGACGUCUACAUUAGAUACCCCGGUAGUCCCAGCCGUAAACUAUGCGCGUUAGGUGUAUCGGUGACCACGAGUCACCGAGGUGCCGAAGGGAAACCGUGAAACGUGCCGCCUGGGAAGUACGGUCGCAAGGCUGAAACUUAAAGGAAUUGGCGGGGAGCACCACAACGGGUGGAGCCUGCGGUUUAAUUGGACUCAACGCCGGGAAGCUCACCGGAUAAGACAGCGGAAUGAUUGCCGGGCUGAAGACUCUGCAUGACUAGCUG
rnacentral:rRNA from 1 species